rnacentral:piRNA from 1 species
UACAGUAAGAGAGGACAGGGCUG